GGAUAACCUGCCUUUGGGUCCGGCAUAACCCCGGGAAACUGGGGAUAAUUCCGGAUAACGCAUAUAUGCUGGAAUGCUUUCUGCGUAAAAUGGAUUCGUCUGCCCAAGGAUGGGUCUGCGGCCUAUCAGGUAGUAGUGGGUGUAAUGUACCUACUAGCCGACGACGGGUACGGGUUGUGAGAGCAAGAGCCCGGAGAUGGAUUCUGAGACAUGAAUCCAGGCCCUACGGGGCGCAGCAGGCGCGAAAACUUUACAAUGCGGGAAACCGUGAUAAGGGGACACCGAGUGCCAGCAUCAUAUGCUGGCUGUCCGGGUGUGUAAAAUACACCCGUUAGCAAGGGCCGGGCAAGACCGGUGCCAGCCGCCGCGGUAACACCGGCGGCCCGAGUGGUGAUCGUGAUUAUUGGGUCUAAAGGGUCCGUAGCCGGUUUGGUCAGUCCUCCGGGAAAUCUGAUAGCUCAACUAUUAGGCUUUCGGGGGAUACUGCCAGGCUUGGAACCGGGAGAGGUAAGAGGUACUACAGGGGUAGGAGUGAAAUCUUGUAAUCCCUGUGGGACCACCUGUGGCGAAGGCGUCUUACCAGAACGGGUUCGACGGUGAGGGACGAAAGCUGGGGGCACGAACCGGAUUAGAUACCCGGGUAGUCCCUGCCGUAAACGAUGCUCGCUAGGUGCCAGGCAUGGCGCGACCGUGUCUGGAGCCGCAGGGAAGCCGUGAAGCGAGCCACCUGGGAAGUACGGCCGCAAGGCUGAAACUUAA
rnacentral:rRNA from 1 species